UACGGAGGGUGCGAGCGUUGUCCGGAAUCAUUGGGCGUAAAGGGCGCGUAGGUGGCUUCUUAAGCGUGCGGUGAAAGCCUGGGGCUCAACCCCGGGUCGGCCGUGCGAACUGGGGGGCUGGAGCACUGUAGAGGCAGGCGGAAUUCCGGGUGUAGCGGUGGAAUGCGUAGAGAUCCGGAAGAACACCGGUGGCGAAGGCGGCCUGCUGGGCAGUUGCUGACACUAAGGCGCGACAGCGUGGGGAGCAAACAGG
rnacentral:rRNA from 1 species